rnacentral:lncRNA from 1 species
GCUGGGAAUGUGACUCAGUGGUUAAGCCCCACUGGGUUCAAUCCCUGAUAUCAAAACAAAAUAAACAAAAAACACAAAGCCUCUGUCUUCCCUCUCUCUCUCUUCCUUCCUUCCUUCUUCAUGUCCCUUUCCUUCUUCAGCUUCUUUUCAAACUCUUGACAACUUUCCGGACUUCCAGACCCAGCCCAGCCCACACUGGCUCUGUUCUCCCCCCUUUCACCACCCCUCCAGCUUCCCCAUCUUCUCCCAGCAGCUCUCAGGGUACAUGUGACAUGGUAGUAUCCCAUCUGCUGGGUUUCUCCUCACCCUAAUCCCACAGCACAGUCUAGGAACUGGUCUGGAAGAGAGAGAAGUUCUCCUGGAGUGGAGGCUGGGACAGAUGGUAGAGCCUGCUGGGCUGGAGGGUGCGAGCAGCCGUUACCAGUUGUCUGUCGUGGUAGUGAACAGAGUGAAGGCCAUGUAGAUAGCUUCCUGAAACUCAUAAUUCUGUUUAGGUUCAAUAAGUAAUGGGCACUGUCUUGAAUCCAAUUUUUGUUUUCCUCUUUGUAGGUCUACCUAUCACGUUCAUCUCCUGACCUGAAGGAGACCUCCCCUGAAAGCCAUGGUGUGAGAAGCAAUCUUAUUUCUAAGGAACAAUAGACAAAUAUUAACCACUUCUUUGAGAAAAUCAUUUUUAUGUCCACAUGCCCUAUGUUCUAUGUUCAGCCCAGCCUAUAGGCAAGUCCCUUAGUCCUUAGGGUAAAUGUGUAAGGGGGCUUGGAGUGAGGUUACCAGGGCAGGAGGACACCUGAAAACACUGUUGAACCGUUUCAGUGUUGGAAAGAGAAAGACAAAAACAGGUCUACAGGUCAGAGUCAACCUACAAGGUAGUUUAUAAAUUGUAAGGAGCAUCUGCUAUAGACAUGCUGGGACAUGCUGGGACUCACUAACUUGCUGGACAUAAGGAACAGCAGCCAUUGAACUGCUUAGUCAUGUCUGCUUGUAAUUGAUAAAGAGCUGUAAGGGGCACUAGCCAUAGGCAUCCUUAGCAAUGACUGGUUACAAUUGAUGGGGAGCACAGCUCCAUGGACAUGCACAAAGAACACGCCCAGCUGCAGUUACAUCACCUCACCGGACAUAACCAAUGGACAUUGAUUUUCACUGGGUGAAACCAAUCACCAACGUACAACAGAAUAUUGAUGAGACUGGCCUCCUUGCUGUCCAUCCCUGGACUGACCUCACCAUUCCCUGAUGUCCAGCCAUCAGCUGGAGAGAACCACCAGACAAUGUCUGUUCUUUGGCUAAGAGAAAUCGUGUGGCAUUGGAGGUAUUUGGGAGCUCGUGGUUGCCCUAGGAUUGUGUGAUUUGCUUAUAGUGUUUAGUUAGUGGGCAUCCAAUGAUAGUUGGGGUGUUCCUACACACCCAACACUUUUUACAUUGACUGUUUGUAUUUGAUGAUUGGUGUGAUCGAAUAUACGCUUGCAGUUAAAGACAGUCUGCCAGCACCACUCACCACACAAUAUUACUUACAAUAUUACAAUUUACAAUAUUACUGUACUUUAUAUAUUUUUUUUAAAUUAAAAUUUCUUUAACCUUUCAUUCUCUAUUUGAAAUGUGCUUAACAUUAUUAUUUCAUCCUCAGUUUUGCUUCUGUAAUUUCUGGUACUUUUCUGAGUCAAAAGCUUGUUUAUAACUAUAUUAAAUAAUUGACUUCCAAACUCAAAUGUGACAUUCGUGGAAAGGCUUUGUCAGUGAUCUGUAUUUUGAGCAAUUUAAUUUAAGGUUAUUUUUAGUGGAUGUAGGUAUUGUAGAGCUUGUGGUUGAGCUUGACCUCCAGAGCAAGAACAAUAACCAAAAAAUGUAACCAUAGUAAAACUUAUUGACUUCUAGCAUUGUGUUGACCUGUAACAGAGCCAGAAAAAAGGAGAGUGUUGGUUAAGGCAGGAGAGAUUGUACUGUCUGUUAAAAGAGAUUGUUUUG